GGUGAGUGAGAUAAAACGGAUCCACCCAAGCAGAGCGCAGUCUCCUGACCCGCCAGCGCGGGAGCUGGUGGUGUGGACGGCUGCCACGCCAUCGCGGACCCAGCCUAUUAUGGGUACUAACUACUACUACUGUGGUGCUGAUGAAAGUGGAUUGGUACUCACCCCUUUGGAGGAGUAAGGCGCUUACUGUGACUUAGCAGGGGAACCAAGGCAAACAACUUCUCCCACACUUCCCCUGUGCAAACUGCAUUAGGAAGAAAAAAAGAGCAACAGCCCAGCUCUGGACGCUUUCACUUCCCUGGGCAGACGUGGAGCGUGCACAGAGGGCAACCGGGAAUGCAAACCGAAACUUACUAGCCUUGGUGACGAGUUAGCUGGCUCAUUAGUCCUCUCAAACCCCUGUGAAGAGUAUUCUGAUCCCCAUUUUUCUAAAUUUCACAAAUUGAAUAUCUCAGGCUCAAAGGAGUAAAAUAAUUUGGCCAACUGGGGACCCAGGAUUUGAAUGCGUGCCGCGUGGCUCCAACGUUUGUUCCAUUAAGCAUUUCAGUGCACUGCCUCUGCACAUCGACACCUCGUGUUCCGACUUCCUCCCAGAAGAAGGAUUUACACAUGGAAGCUCCAAUCUCAAAAAGAACAGACAUGAAACCAAAUAUCAGCUAAAGGCAGAAAAUAUACAAGGUCACUCUCCUGCCGACCCACGCCCCUCACUCCUCUUUGGUGGUGCAGCAGGGCUGGCCUGCUUCCUGUUGCUCAGGACCCUCUGUCACUCAGGCUCUUCGGAGAAGCGGAAUCUGUGGUGUGAACGGCAACCACAGCAGGGCAGGCUCUUCAGAACCCAGCACGGGACCAACGGCGUGAUCUCAGCAGACAGAGACACAGAGGAACACAUCUCUUUAUCGAAACAUGAAUUUGCUAUUUCUAUUAAUGUUAUAUAAUUCAUAAACACACAGCUUUAUGUCCUA